ACCAAAACAAACUUUGUUUCCCCUUGUCAUCUCACUGCCUGAUUUUAUUUCUCUGUUUCAUGACAACGUGCUUAAACAUGGUACGUUCUCAGUACAGUGGUGACAGUGAUGGUGGAGAAAAUACCAUCAGAGGUUGCUAAAGGAUAGAAGACAAGAAGAACAAAAAUUCUAAACCCAAUGCAUAGCUCCAUGUCGUAGUUUCCUUUGGCAGAUUUGCUGUAGCUGUGUCUGCGAUUGCCGCAGCUACAGAAGCAUUGUCAUGAUCUGGUGGGCACAGAUGAUAAAAGCUAGCAUGUUGAACGUAACUGCUGGAACCUUAAUGGCAGCACAAAGCCUAGAGGUGAUGAUGAAGAUGAAGAAAGCAUAUUACAAGGACCGUCUUCAAACAGAAAGAAUAAGGUCCUCUCUGUCUCUUUCCCCUCUCUCAGUUGCUACCUUCCCUCGUAGCCUCAUGCUCGUGUGAAUGAAGGAUGGUGUCUCACUACAUAGAAGAUUUUUUUUCUGUUAAUACUGGUACACCCUUGAGCAUUAGCUAAGCAUUUUGUUUCGGUUUCCAGUGAGGAAGGUCAUUCCACUGCCAAUGAAGGGUGCAUCAGGAUCCCUUGUGUGAGAAAAUUUUCUAGAUGUGGCGCUGCUGCACUUCUAUUACUUAUUCAAUCUAGGCAGUUUCUGCUCUAUGAUGCAUCAGGUACAGAGUAAUGUCAUUGUUGGGGACCAACAAUUUAUGCAUUCCUGGCUUAUACAUUUUGUCCCAUUGAGGAAAACAACGAGGAAUCCUAAUUCUAGCCUGUGAUGGCUUGCGGCAAAAGUAGGGAUGCUUAGCUCCCAUGUGGAGACAAUUGUAGAACAAUGUGCAUUCAGUGUUUGGCUGGAAAUUUAUCCAUUGAAGACUUUCAAUGGAUGACAAGGUCUCAGAAGGCGGCAUUCCUUUGGCGUCAAGGUGUAAUCUUUGCUUGAAAGCAUCUGAAUCUGCUGCGUAUAUCUUCAUGGAGUGCAUCUAUUCAAGGAAAAUUUGGCAGUUUUUCCUGUCAAAUUUUACCCGUCAACAAUCUUCUGAUUUGGUGGAAUACGAAGCCGUCGGUGGUGCUCGUCUUAAUCCCAAUGAUUAUAUGGACCAAAAGGAAUUUGAGAUGAUUUGUGGGAAGAGAAGACCUCUCGAUUGUUGAAGGAAUACCUUUCCAUGGUAUUUUCAGCAGAAAUGGAUCUUCUUCAAAAAUUAUCUUUCAGACAUCUCUUGGAAAAUCUCCCAUUGUUAUAGGGAAGUUACACUGGCUGAUUUAUUAGCAAAAGACGGGGCUGAUACUCAUAUGUCAAUCAGUUGGCUUACGAAUCCACCUUUUUUUCAAGAUGAGAUUAUAUGGGACAUUCAAGGGAGAUCUGGAUUCUGUUUUGAGCAUUGAGUCUUUUUGUACAGGAUAAAUCUAAUGUUCCUUGUUAGACCUUGUGGUUUCUGCUAAUGGCAAUGCCGAAGGUGGAUCCAUAAGGUCUAUCUGGUUUGUCUUUGCUUUACUGAUGGCAAUGCCGAAGGUGAAGUGUUAAGACUGCUUAAUUUUCUGUCGUCUGGGUAAUGCCCGGAUUUUAAUCUAUAUAUCAUUCUUUAUAACUAUUAAUAUAAACUUUUGCCGAAA